rnacentral:lncRNA from 10 species
CCUCUAAGCUCCUCUCCAUCUUAACCUUUUCUGGUUUGCUUGCUUAUUUUUUAGAAUAAUUUACUUUGGCCUUUCCCAAUUCCCUCUGGUCAAGUCUGCUAGGUAUGUUGUGCACUUUUAUUUCCUUUUUGUGUUUUUUAACAACAAUUACACACAGGAGCAGAUAUAUCUGCUUUCUGCCACAAACCUUGAGGAUACACAAAUGACAGAUUUACGAGAAUUUUUUUUAAAAGGUCUUCCAGGUAACAAGUAAAUGCACAUGUGUCUCUCCAAAGCUCCAACCAGGGCUGCUUCUCCAGCCAACCUGCCGCAGACUGGCACGCAAUUCCCCCAGAGCCACUUCUUCCUCUCUUCUGUUGCUGGUAAACAGCAAGGAGUUUUGCAUCUUAAGGAUUCUAUUGUUAAUUGUUCUGAGUCAAAGUAACCCAUCUGGUUUUCUUCAAUACUGGGUUCUGCGUUAGUGCUCCAGGGAGGCAGAACCCGUUCCAUGGAAGUGAUUCAUUACCUGUGUUAACUUGAAGGGUGUCGCUCUUCAUCUGCCUUCUCUUGUUCCAUGGCACCACCGUAAUUUAAAUAAUCUGCCUGCUUCCAGUACUGCAGCAGAGUUCUUCCUUCUGCUUCUUUCCUUUUUUCUUUCUCUUCUUUUCGUUUUUUUA